AUUGAACGCUGGCGGCAUGCCUUACACAUGCAAGUCGAACGGUAACGGGCCUUCGGGUGCCGACGAGUGGCGAGCGGGUGAGUAAUACAUCGGAACGUGCCCGAUCGUGGGGGAUAACGAGGCGAAAGCUUUGCUAAUACCGCAUACGAUCUACGGAUGAAAGCAGGGGACCGCAAGGCCUUGCGCGGACGGAGCGGCCGAUGGCAGAUUAGGUAGUUGGUGGGAUAAAAGCUUACCAAGCCGACGAUCUGUAGCUGGUCUGAGAGGAUGAUCAGCCACACUGGGACUGAGACACGGCCUAGACUCCUACGGGAGGCAGCAGUGGGGAAUUUUGGACAAUGGGCGCAAGCCUGAUCCAGCCAUGCCGCGUGCAGGAUGAAGGCCUUCGGGUUGUAAACUGCUUUUGUACGGAACGAAAAGCCUUCUUUUAAUACAGGAGGGUCAUGACGGUACCGUAAGAAUAAGCACCGGCUAACUACGUG
rnacentral:rRNA from 1 species